rnacentral:rRNA from 1 species
CCUACGGGAGGCAGCAGUGGGGAAUUUUGCGCAAUGGGCGAAAGCCUGACGCAGCGACGCCGCGUGAGGGAUGAAGGUCUUCGUGAUCGUAAACCUCUGUCAGGAAGGAUUAAGUGUAUACGUGCCAAUACCACGUAUGCUUGACUUAACUUCCAGAGGAGUCCCGCAANACG